UACGUAGGGUGCAAGCGUUAAUCGGAAUUACUGGGCGUAAAGCGUGCGCAGGCGGUUUUGUAAGUCAGAUGUGAAAUCCCCGGGCUUAACCUGGGAACUGCGUUUGAAACUACAAGGCUAGAGUGUGGCAGAGGGGGGUGGAAUUCCACGUGUAGCAGUGAAAUGCGUAGAGAUGUGGAGGAACACCGAUGGCGAAGGCAGCCCCCUGGGCCAAUACUGACGCUCAUGCACGAAAGCGUGGGGAGCAAACAGG
rnacentral:rRNA from 1 species